UUAUGGUUCGGUUUUUCGGUUAGUAUGCUCACCCCUACCUUUUUUGGUUAUUGUUCAAAUUUUCUCCACCAACUAACAUGUAAAAAAAAAGAUCAAAAAGCGACACUUAAGAAAUUUUCGGAUAUACCCAAUAAUUAUUCGACCCGACCUCAAACCCGAAUACCUGAAAACCGAAUUACAAUAUAGGUCCGAUUUCGGGUAUUUUUUUUUUACAUAAACCCAAAAUUUUACACGUAGUUAUAUAUACCGUGAGUGUUGGUGAAAGCUAGGGUUUGGGUUGGUUUGGAGCGAUUUGGAAGAAGGCGAACUGAUGGCGUCUACUACGGCUAGGUUUGUUGAAGUUGUUUUAUGUUACCGGUAGAGGAAACAGCAGAAAGCGGUGUUGGGCAACAAGCUGCAUAUUUGCGUGGCCAGGUCUCGUCACACACUCCUAGAGUUUGUUUAAUUGCAUCGAUCGGUGAAAUUUGAGUCGUAGAGUUUGGGGAAAGUUGAUGUUUUUCUAUGAAUUAUCAGAUCAGAUGAUGUAUGUUUUGAUAGCCUACGCAGAUUUCGGAACAUGUGAAAAGUGCCAAGGAAGCUGAAGCUGAGUUGGCUGAGGUUCUGAAAACCCUAAGAUCUUUGAGGAGGGUAAUGGAGCCCGGAUUUUGGGUUUUGUUCUUUUUAGCAAAAUACUAUGAGUUAUCUCUAAUAUGCAGGUUGGUGAACCUGAAGACCCAGAGGAAGCGAAACUUGAAGCUGAGCUGGUUGGUAUCCUGGAGACCAAUAGAUAUCGGAUGGAGAGAAUCGUGCAGUUUCUAAGCAGCAGCAGCAACAACAACUUGGAACCACCAUCGAAGGUCUCCUAAUAUUAUGUUAGUCUAGCAAUUAGCGGAUUUGAGAAAAGGACCAUCAAGAACCUUUAAAGAGAAGAAUUUUUAGCAUAUACACAUACCAAAAAGUUAAAACAGUGGUUAACAAGAUUAUAAAGGAUGUAACUUUAUGAGGUUAUUUGAUCUGUCCAUUUUUGUUAUACUCUAACUCUUUGAUGGGUAAUUAAUGACUCCAAAGCAGAAGGCAGUCAUGGUACACUUACCCAGCGUAUGGAAAACAAAAACUUGUUCUAUUUC